rnacentral:lncRNA from 1 species
AGAUGAGAGAGACACACGGAGAAAGAGAGGAAGCAAAUGAGAAGUACAGAGGCGACGUGGUUGGCUUGCUGGAUGCCGGCGACACGGUUGGAGGAGCUUUGACUUGGCGGCGGGGUCCAUGCAGUUCCAUGCAGCGGCUGGCUCCGACGGCCUUAGAGGCGGGAUAGAGGAGAGGCACGGCUUGGGCGAGCCCUUGCUCGGGAGCAG